CCCACAGUACAGUCAGAGAGAGCGCUUUAUGAAAGGAAUUGCUUCCACUUACUGCACACAUUAAAGAUUUUUAGUCAUUACUCAUUUUCAAAGGCACCAAACUAUACAGAAUUGUUGGGAGCAAGCACGUUACAGAUCACCUUUAGAAUGUAUGUUGCUUUGAUUUUGCAUUUUGAUGAUACUGUAUUGAUACACUGAGUAAUUUGAUAUUUUGCUUGCAUGUCUCCCAUGUUUUUACAGAGAUACUUCACAAAAACUUGUAUGCAAUUCCUUUAUGCUUCAAGUCUGCAUCAGGCAUAUGGAGAAAUCUGGGUGUGAAGCCUGAUGUCUCCAUUUCUGAAAAGCAAGGUCAUAGUAACACACAUCACAUUGUUUCAAUUAUAUCUCUUAAAUUGCUCCAGGAAUCCCAGAAUGGCUGGAGUGAGAAGGGACCUCCGAGUCUAUCUGGCCCAACCCCUGACCAAGCAGGGACACCCAGAGCAGGGUGGCCAGGGUCAUGGCCAGGCAGCUUCUGAAGAUCUCAAAGGAGGAGACCCCGCAGCCUCUCUGGGCAAUCUGUACCGGUGCUCUGUCACAUGCAGAGCACAGAAGUGCUGCCUUGUGUUCAGGGGGAACCUACUGUCCUCCAGUUUGAUGCUGUGUUCUAAGGAGACUCUUUAGUGGCUCAGUGCCAUGUGCACGUUUGUCUCCAUGGUAGGUGCUCACUUUAAGUUCAGGUUGGUGAUAAAGAAAACUCAAAAACCUCUCCGCAAGAGGAUGAUGAAAUGGGAAACCUCAUGCUCCAGUUGCAGGGUGUUCAAGAGUGUGGUGUCCUCUGGAUCACUCACUGCUGCUAAUUCUGCCACGUGGGUCAGCUGGAUCCCAGGUCAGCAUGAAGCCAUUUCUCUUGCGUGCAAAAGGAAAGCCAGCCUAUUUAAUGUGUGCCAUCAGCAGCUCGAAAGCACCAAUGUUUUAUCUCUUGUCAUUCAUUACAAACAAAUUGUAUCCUUCUUCAUAGUUGCCAUGCAGGAUAGAUAUCGAGGAUCUGUAUGAUAUUGUUCAGUGUUUAAAAAAUAUUUAAUCAUCACUGUAGAGUACAAUUUGCAUUAUUCCCAUUUUUCAUGCCAACAUGAUUUGUAUGGCAGCCAAUGUAUGCUAAUUAGUCAAAUUUCCCUAAUUAAUUUUUGUUAACGUGUUGUCCUGACAUGACUUGAAAUGUACAGCUUAUUGUAUUAAAUGUAUUAAAAUUGCUUCUGCUUUCUACUGUAUACCAGGGAAUAAUCUGCUACCAACAGCAAGUGUUUACAACAAUUUUUAAAUGCACAUAUUCUAAUUAAAGUGAACAUCCAACAUGUUGGCCAAGGGUGAGUCAUACUUCAUAAUAGCUCUACAGGGAAG
rnacentral:lncRNA from 1 species